rnacentral:rRNA from 1 species
GACGUAGGGCGCAAGCGUUGUCCGGAUUUAUUGGGCGUAAAGGGCGCGUAGGCGGCUGCGCAAGUCUCGGGUGAAAUCCCUCGGCUCAACCGAGGAACUGCCCUGGAAACUGCGCGGCUCGAGGCCGGGAGAGGAUGGUGGAAUUCCCAGUGUAGCGGUGAAAUGCGUAGAUAUUGGCUGGAACACCGGUGGCGAAAGCGGCUCUCUGGCCCGGUUCUGACGCUGAGGCGCGAAAGCGUGGGGAGCAAACAGG